rnacentral:rRNA from 1 species
UACGGAGGGUGCAAGCGUUAUCCGGAUUCACUGGGUUUAAAGGGUGCGUAGGCGGGCAGGUAAGUCAGUGGUGAAAUCUCCGAGCUUAACUCGGAAACUGCCGUUGAUACUAUCUGUCUUGAAUAUUGUGGAGGUAAGCGGAAUAUGUCAUGUAGCGGUGAAAUGCUUAGAUAUGACAUAGAACACCAAUUGCGAAGGCAGCUUACUACACAAUCAUUGACGCUGAGGCACGAAAGCGUGGGGAUCAAACAGG